rfam:Camelus ferus unplaced genomic scaffold scaffold760, whole genome shotgun sequence.
GGAUAUAGCUCAGUGGCAGAGCACGUGCUUAGCAUGUAUGAGGUCCUGGAUUCAAUCCCUAGUACCUCCA